UGGCUCAGGGCCUCAGAUCUCAGCUGGGCCCCGCUGCGCGGGUGCUCCGAAGCCCUGGGAGGGGGCUGCGUGCAACAGGGGAGGCCGGGGGCGGACGCGCUUGUAAACUGAGGAACAACUGAGCUGGGUGCGCAGCCGGCUGCCACAGGAUAUCCUCGUGCCGGGGACAGAAUCACCCCUCCCGCCCUAGCCCUAACCGCCACCGUCGCCGCCACCGGAGGCCGAGCCAGCCGGGCAGCUGGUCUUCAUUAACUGCAGCGCUCGCCCCCUACCGGGAGCCCGCGUCUCCGGCCGGCUCGGGUGGGGGCUGCGGGUGUGUCUAAGGGGGUGCCCUAGUCCGACCUUGCAGCGGGCUCUGGGCUGGGGGUGCUGCGCCGAAGGCCAGGUCACCUCGGGCUGCGGAGAAGUCGGCGCGCACAGCCCGGCCCGCCCGUCGGAACUGGGAGGGAGACAGGGUCUUGCUAAGACCCCCAAGCUGGGCUUGAACUUGCAAGUCCUCCUGCCUCAGCCUCCUGCAGCGACGCCUCAUAUGGCAGUCCACCUUCAGCAGCACUGGUGAUGAAGUGCAGACUUUGCUGCACCCAAAUCCUUUUCCAUGGCCAGUAAUAAACACUCCACUCCUCGGAAGCACAAUCUACUUAAAGAUAAACCAGGACGCAGCUGAGGAAGAAUGCAGGGCUGCAGGAGCCAAGUGGGACUGAAGUCUGCUUCACGCAUCGCUGCUGGAACCAAGCCCACCACAGCUGCGGAGUCCUAAGAGCAGCGAUGACCUAGAAAUGGAUGGUGGGGGAAGUGCAAGAAAGGAGACCGGAAAACCAGUACCCAGGAAGCCCUCUUUCCAGCAGCAAGAGAGGAAGAGGCCUCGGGGGAAGCCCUGCAGGCCAGGGAGGUGCCACGGUCACACCACCCCCUCACCCCCGCCGGGAGUCCAUUGGAGCCUGAAGCAGGGAAGGCGCCGAGCCCGGUGAGGCGGGGCGGCUGCUGGCUGGGUUCCGGGCAGGCUCCCGCCAUGGACUCGGGCAGACAGCAGCUGCCCAGUGUAGAAACAAACUGUGAAGCAGUCACGUCUCUCAAGGCUGCAGCAUCCCAUAAAACGUAAUUUAAGUCAAGCCUCACAUCUGUUCCCAAUCCCGCAGUUCCCUGCUUUCCAUCAGCCUUCAGACGAUGCCAUGCUUUGCCUUGGCUCUCUAGCCCCACCCCGCCCUGGCACAGGGCCCGAGAUGGGGGGCCCCAUGGGCUCGGUGUUUCUUUCAGGGCACUCCCUGCACCACCUGCUGCAGCAAGGAUCACUUUUCAAGGGUGCGGUGGGCACUGAGGCCUGUGCAUCACUGGGCUACGAUCAAGUUCCUGCAGGGCCAUGUGGGUCAGGCACAGCCUGGGACCCUGGCUC